rnacentral:pre_miRNA from 12 species
GGUCUAGUGCUGUGUGGAAGACUAGUGAUUUUGUUGUUCUGAUAUAAAAUGACAACAAAUCACAGCCUGCCUCAUAGCGUGGACU